rnacentral:rRNA from 1 species
AGUGAACGCUGGCGGUAGGCCUAACACAUGCAAGUCGAACGGCAGCACAGUAAGAGCUUGCUCUUACGGGUGGCGAGUGGCGGACGGGUGAGGAAUACAUCGGAAUCUACUUUUUCGUGGGGGAUAACGUAGGGAAACUUACGCUAAUACCGCAUAUGACCUACGGGUGAAAGCAGGGGAUCUUCGGACCUUGCGCGAUUGAAUGAGCCGAUGUCGGAUUAGCUAGUCGGCGGGGUAAAGGCCCACCAAGGCGACGAUCCGUAGCUGGUCUGAGAGGAUGAUCAGCCACACUGGAACUGAGACACGGUCCAGACUCCUACGGGAGGCAGCAGUGGGGAAUAUUGGACAAAGGGCGCAAGCCUGAUCCAGCCAUACCGCGUGGGUGAAGAAGGCCUUCGGGUUGUAAAGCCCUUUUGUUGGGAAAGAAAAGCAGCAGGUUAAUACCCCGCUGUUCUGACGGUACCCAAAGAAUAAGCACCGGCUAACUUCGUG